UCAAUAGCUAUAAUUAAAAGCUGAAUACAAUUAGAACUCUAAGCUUACAUAACCAGCUAUAUACAAAUAGAACUCUAAGAUUCCAUAAUUAUAUCUUCUAGAACACUUCCCAUUUCUAUCAGGCUCUUGAGAUGGGCUUUUAAUCUCUCCAAUCACCGGGCCAGUUUGGUUGGGCCAGUUUGGUUGGGCUAAAUGACCUCCCUCGAACACGAUGGAUCGCACCAGUUUGUCAUGGUUGCGAGCACCGACGCGCAACCCAUGACAUUCUCCCCCACUUGUUCUAGCGACGCCCUCGUCGCAUCCUCCUUAUGGAACUAGUCAAUCUUCCCUUGGAACUGCCACAAUGCCUCAGCAGGUUCCCAACUUGCUUCGCUAUCAAGAAGUCCCUUCCAUCGAACUAAGUACUCAUGCUAUGGUCGGUGGUACUUUCGUCUAAUUACCCGAUCUGCCUCAAUGUUUUCUACUUCACGAUCAUACGAGACUUUUACCCCCAUCGGUGCUCGUUCGGACUUGCCUCAAUUCGGAUCUUCUUGAUCCUCAUGAAACGGCUUAAGCAUGCUUACAUGGAAGACUGGGUGUACUUUAAGUUUUGGUGGCAACUCCAGCUUGUAGGCCACCUUGCCCACUCUCUUCACAACUUUAAACGGCCCUUCAUACCUUCGCACAAGACCCUUGUGCAAACCAGUAUAUCGUAAAAUCAAGUGUAGUUUAGCAAGGACUGAGUCACCCACUUGAAAUUGUACAUCCCUUCGGUUCUGAUCGGCCCACUUCUUGCUACGCUUACUUGCUUUGUGUAAACAAGCUCUAGCCAAGCCAUUCUUCUCUUGCCAAUCUUUUACGAAUCUAUAGGCUGCCGGAUUUGGUCCUGUGUAAUGGGUCACAACAGCGUUGGGUGUGAGUGGCUGUUGACCCGUCACUAUUUCAAAUGGACUUUGAUUCGUGGUCCCACUUUGCUGCAAGUUUUAUGAAAAUUGGGCCAUAUCCAGCAACUUUGGCCAAUCCCUUUGUGUGGCACUCACAUAGUGCCGAAGAUACGUCUCCAACAGUGCAUUUACUCGUUCAGUUUGCCCAUCGGUUUGUGGAUGCAUGCUCGUGGAGAAGUUCAAAUCUGAGCCCAUUGACUUGAACAACUCCGUCCAGAACCGACCAGUAAAUCGACCAUCUCGAUCGCUGAUAAUAGAUAGUGGCACUCCCCAAUAUUUCACCACGUGUCUAAGGAAUAACCGAGCUGCUUCCUCAGCAGGGCACUCUUUGGUCGCCGGAAUAAAAGUCGCAUACUUUGAAAACCUGUCCACCACAACAAGAAUACUAGCAAACCCGUCAGACUUAGGCAAACCAAUAAUAAAAUCCAUGGAUAAACUCUCCCAUGGCCUUUCUGGGACUGGCAGGGGUUGAAGCAAGCUGGCUGGAGUCUUUAACUCAACCUUGUAUUGUUGGCACACUAGACAAGUUUUUACAUAGGUUUCCACAUCAGCACCCAUGUGAGGCCAAUAAUAGCGAUCCUCCAAAAGGCCCAAAGUGCGAUGCAUCCCUGGAUGGCCUGCCCAUUUCGAGUCAUGACAUUCCUUCAUGACUUCCUUACGGAGUUUCCCAUAAUAGGGCACAUAGAGGCGGUGUCCAUGAGUGUAUACUAGCUCCCCAUCAAGCCAAAAUCUUCUUGUUUUUCCCUCCUUGGCAAGCUCAAUCAAAUUUUUGGCCGUAGGAUCAUGGGACAAUCCCUCUCGAAUGCGUUCCAACAAAGAGCCAUCAGGUUGACUGAUUGCUGCGAAUUCCAUCUUUCGACUAAGUGCAUCAGCAACAUUGUUGGCACUUCCUGGUUUAUGUUCCAUUGUGAAAUCAAACUCUGCUAGUAAAACCUGCCAACGAGCCUGCUUGGGAGACAACUUUUUCUGGGUUAGAAAGUAACUAUUGGCAACAUUGUUGGUAAGGACCACGAACCUGGAACCCAAUAAAUAAUGUCUCCAUGUGCGCAAGCAGUGUACUACCGCAGUCAUCUCUUUCUCUUAGACCGUAUAUCUACGUUCCGUCUCGUUAAGCUUUCGACUCUCGAAAGCAAUUGGGUGUCCAUCUUGCAUCAGUACUCCCCCAAUAGCAUAAUCUGAUGCAUCUGUACGUACCUCGUAAGGCUUCGUAAAAUCCGGUAAGACAAGUACGGGCUCCCUCGUCAUUUCUUGCUUCAAUUUGUUGAAGGCCUUCUCACAUUCUGGAUUCCAAUCCCAUACCUUCCCCUUCUUCAACAUGUCCGUCAAGGGAGUGGUAAUUUUGGAGUAGCCUUCGACAAAGCGGCGAUAGUAAUUUGCCAAUCCAAGGAAAGAUCUCAACUCUGUUACCUUGGUUGGAGGCUCCCACUCUGAAAUAGCUCGAAUCCUAUUUUUAUCCAUUCGGAUCUUACCGCCUCCCACAAUGUGGCCUAAGAAUGACACCUCUUGUUGGGCAAAUGAGCAUUUCUCCUCCUUGACGAACAGCUCAUUUUCCCUCAAAGUCUGGAACACCUCCCUCAAGUGUCUUACGUGCUCUUCAAGCGACUGGCUAUAGACCACAAUAUCGUCAAGGUAAACAACCACAAAACGAUCAAGAAAGGGUUGAAGUACCUUAUUCAUUAGGGUGCAGAAUGUAGCUGGAGCAAUCGUGAGUCCGAAAGGCAUCACAAGGAACUCAUACGAACCGUACCGUGUCACACAAGCUGUCUUUGGUUCGUCCCCCUCAACUAUCCGAACUUGAUGAUACCCCAAUCUCAAAUCUAACUUGGUAAACCAUCUUGCAUUACCAAGCUGAUCGAACAAAUCUGCGAUAAGAGGAAUAGGAUACCUAUUCUUCACGGUGAUCUUGUUUAGAGCUCGAUAAUCGAUGCACAUUCUUAAGGACCCAUCGUGUUUCUUUUAGAACAACACUGGCGCACCAUAUGGGGAUUUAGAUGGUCUAAUGAAUCCCGCAUCCAAAAGUUCCUUUAAUUGUUUCCGUAACUCUUCUAAUUCUGGCGGAGACAUACGAUAGGGGGCCCUUGCUGGCAGCACCACAUUGGAUACUAACUCGAUUUUGUGGUCCACCUCCCUCUUAGGUGGUAAACUUUUUGGCAACUGAGCAGGCAUUACAUCUCGAAAUGAUUGUAGCAAUUGUCCCACUUUUUUCGGGGUCUCACUAACAGACUCAGCGGUCUCUUCGAUCUUCAAGGUGGCUAAAUAUGAGACUUCAUUUCUCCGUACACCUUUAGCAAACUGAAUUGCUGAUAGUGUUUUUCCCUCAAAGCUUCUUUUCCUUGUCACUUUCACCAUGCAUUAAUGUUUCGCAUCUGAAAUCACCAUGUAAUUGCUCGAAGGGGCAAUAAGAGCUUUAACCUGAUUAAGGAAACUUAGUCCCACCACAAAAUCAUAGUCAUCAAGUGGUAUUACCUUAAUGGAUACCUUCCCUGACCAAUUGCCGAGCUGAAGAUCCACUCCCUUUGCAACCCCCUUGAUUGGAAUACUUUCCGAGUUCACUGUUUUGAUCCAACCCCCUUCAUUAUCUAUCUUGAGGCCUAGUUUACAAGCAGCCUCCUCAGACAUGAAUAAAUCAGAAGCACCUGUCUCGACGAGCGCAUUCAAUUUUCUGUCGGCCACAAUGAUGUCUACAAACAUCAAACCAUGGCUCAUUCUAUCUUCGACACCCCCUAGUAUCGAUCCAAGGUUGUUAUCCUCCACAUCGGACUCCCCCUUUGCUUCCAUAGCCUUGAGAGCGGCCUUCUUUGGACAGUCCUUGAUCAUAUGUGGACCCUCACAGUGGAAGCACCUUAUAGGCCCACUCUUUCUCUUGUCCCAAGGUUUCUUACCAUCGCCGUUCCUAGUGGGCCUUUCUUUAUCUCCCCCACUAUUACCCUUUAAUCUGGGUUUAAAAGAAUUGGAAUUGUCUUUCCUCCCACCAAAUUCAGCAAGUGAUUCUGCUACUGACAUAGCCUUGGUGAGUUCUUGAACUCCUCGGCGCUGCAACUCUUGCUUCGCCCACGAUUUUAAUCCGUCCAUAAAGGAAAAGAAUGCCUCUUUCUCCCCCAUAUCUGAGAUUUGGAGCAUAAGCUCGCUAAACUCCUGUACAUACUCCCUCACAGUGCCUUGUUGCGUAAGCCGACGCAACCUUGUCCGAGCCUCAUCCUCGGCAUACUCUGGGUAAAACUGUGCUUUGAACUCACAUCGAAACUCCUCCCAUGUUUCGAUUUCAGACCCACCACGUCUCACAUCAGUGGACCUACGACGCCACCACAACAAAGCAACGUCAGAUAAAUACAUCGCAGCAGUAGUUACCUUAGUGACAUCCUCCGUGAUGCCUCUGGCACAGAAGUAUUGCUCGAUUCCCCACAAAAAGUUGUCCACAUCUCUUGCGGACCUUGUUCCCUUAAACUCUUUGGGCUUGGGAACAUCAAUAUUGGGCUUGGGUGCGGCAGCCGCUAACCCACCAUUGCCCAAGGCAACCUUGUAGAUUGUGAGUUCACCCUUGAGAUCCGCAAUCUCUCCCUUCAAGGCCACCACCAUAGCCUCAAUGGCAUCAUCUCUACCAGUCAACUGUUUCAUAUUAUCCGUCACAUACUCUUUAAGCUGCUCCUGCAUGGACUGCAGUCCAUCAUGGAGCCUAUCAUCAACAUCUUCAACCCUCUCCUUGAUAUCCCCCAUUGAACUCUCGAGAGUGACGACGCGAUCCUCUAAAGCUGACAAUAUGUCCCUUGAGCGACUGGCUUUCCUAGCCCUCCCAUGGGUCUCCAUUCCCUCAACUUCUUUUGACAUCUUUCAACGGUGGCUUCGAACCUUAGCUCGGAUACCAACUGUCACGGACUUAGAGUUUUCCCACGCGAUCCGUGCGGCCUUAGGCAGUUUCUCUGCUUAAAACGCCUAAGUCAGCCUAACUUGUAACAAAAAAAAAAGAUUCAGCAGCAAAAAUGCCCAAGUCAACUUCACUCGCAACAAUAAAGGAUUCAAUAGAAUUCCCUUAAGAUUUUCACGAAGAACAACAGAAGAACGAAGUAAGAACGAGCCUUGAAAGAUGAACAAAAGCAGGAACACUUGAGAGAAAAUUUUGAGUGAAUACUCUCAAAAUUCUUAUUAAUAACUCAAAAUAUAUACAAUGAGCAAAGAGGUCUCUAUUUAUAGUUGAGCCUCACAGUAUAUCAAUAGCUAUAAUUAAAAGCUGAAUACAAUUAGAACUCUAAGCUUACAUAACCAGCUAUAUACAAAUAGAACUCUAAGAUUCCAUAAUUAUAUCUUCUAGAACACUUCCCAUUUCUAUCAGGCUCUUGAUAUGGGCUUUUAAUCUCUCCAAUCACCGGGCCAGUUUGGUUGGGCCAGUUUGGUUGGGCUAAAUGACCUCCCUUGAACACGAUGGAUCGCACCAGUUUGUCAUGGUUGCGAGCACCGACGCGCAACCCAUGACACUAG
rnacentral:lncRNA from 1 species